CCAGACUCCUACGGGAGGCAGCAGUGAGGAAUAUUGGUCAAUGGGCGGGAGCCUGAACCAGCCAAGCCGCGUGAGGGAAGAAGGUACAGCGUAUCGUAAACCUCUUUUGUCAGGGAACAAAGGCGGGGACGUGUCCCCGGAUGAGUGUACCUGAAGAAAAAGCAUCGGCUAACUCCGUGCCAGCAGCCGCGGUAAUACGGAGGAUGCGAGCGUUAUCCGGAUUUAUUGGGUUUAAAGGGUGCGCAGGCGGCACGGCAAGCCGGCGGUCAAAUCGCGGGGCUCAACCCCGCCCAGCCGUCGGAACUGGGUGCCUUGAGUGGGCGAGAAGUAUGCGGAAUGCGUGGUGUAGCGGUGAAAUGCAUAGAUAUCACGCAGAACCCCGAUUGCGAAGGCAGCAUACCGGCGCCCUACUGACGCUGAGGCAUGAAAGUGCGGGUAUCGAACAGGAUUAGAUACCCCAGUAC
rnacentral:rRNA from 1 species